rnacentral:rRNA from 1 species
CCUACGGGAGGCAGCAGUGAGGAAUAUUGGUCAAUGGGCGCGAGCCUGAACCAGCCAAGUCGCGUGAAGGAUGACGGCCCUACGGGUUGUAAACUUCUUUUUUCAGGGCGCAAUUUCGUCCACGCGUGGGCUUAGCGAGAGUACCUGAUGUAAAAGCAUCGGCAAACUCCGUGCCAGCCGCCGCGGUCAUACGUAGGAUGCGAGCGAUAUCCGGCUGUAUUGGGUUAAAAGGGUGCGUAGGCGGAAUAUCAAGUCAGCGGUAAAAAUUCGGGGCUCAACCCCGUCGUGACGUUGAAACUGAUGUUCUUGAGUGGGCGAGAAGAAUGCGGAAUGCGUGGUGUAGCGGUGAAAUGCAUAGAUAUCACGCAGAACUCCGAUUGCGAAGGCGGCAUACCGGCGCCCAACUGACGCUGAAGCACGAAAGCGUGGGUAUCGAACAGGAUUAGAUACCCCAGUAGUC